UACGGAGGAUGCAAGCGUUAUCCGGAUUUAUUAGGUUUAAAGGGUGUGUAGGCUGACCAUUAAGUCAGUGGUGAAAUCCCUCGGCUCAACUGAGGAACUGCCAUUGAUACUGCUGGUCUUGAAUACAGAUGAAGUAGGCGGAAUAUGUAAUGUAGCGGUGAAAUGCUUAGAUAUUACAUAGAACACCGAUUGCGAAGGCAGCUUACUAAUUUGUUAUUGACGCUGAGACACGAAAGCGUGGGUAGCGAACAGGAUUAGAUACCCUGGUAGUCCACGCCGUAAACGAUGAUAACUCGUUGUUGGCGAUACACAGUCAGCGACUGAGCGAAAGCAUUAAGUUAUCCACCUGGGGAGUACGACCGCAAGGUUGAA
rnacentral:rRNA from 1 species